rnacentral:rRNA from 1 species
UACGGAGGGUGCAAACGUUGCUCGGAAUCAUUGGGCGUAAAGCGCACGUAGGCGGCUCGUUAAGUCGGGUGUGAAAGCCCUGGGCUCAACCCAGGAAGUGCAUUCGAAACUGGCGAGCUUGAAUAUGGAAGAGGGUCGCGGAAUUCCCGGUGUAGAGGUGAAAUUCGUAGAUAUCGGGAGGAACACCAGUGGCGAAGGCGACUACCUGGCCUGUUUCUUGACGCUGAGGCGCGAAAGCUAGGGGAGCAAACGGG